rnacentral:rRNA from 1 species
GAUGAACGCUAGCGGCAGGCCUAAUACAUGCAAGUCGAACGGGAUUAAGAGGCUUGCUUCUUAUGAGAGUGGCGCACGGGUGCGUAACACGUAUGCAACCUACCUUCAACAGGGGGAUAGCCUUCCGAUAGGGAGAUUAAUACCGCAUAAUAUAAUUGAACGGCAUCGUUUGAUUAUCAAACUUACAAGGGUUGAAGAUGGGCAUGCGUUCGAUUAGUUAGUUGGUGAGGUAACGGCUAACCAAGGCAUCGAUCGGUAGGGGAUCUUAGAGGAUGACCCCCCACACUGAUACUGAGACACUGACCAUACUCCUACGGGAGGCAGCAGUAAGGAAUAUUGGUCAAUGGACGCAAGACUGAACCAGCCUUGCCGCGCGCAGGAAGACGGUCCUCUGGAUUGUAAACUGCUUUUGUUAGGGAAGAAACCCUCGGUUGCGAUCGAGGCUGACGGUACCUAAAGAAUAAGGAUCGGCUAACUCCGUGCCAGCCGCCGCGGUAAUAC